AUGUUUCUCGUUUAUGGAGGUGACGAAGAGCUCGUCGUAAAGGGUUACGUCGAUGCUAGCUUCGACACAGAUCUGGAUGACUCUAAGUCACAAACCGGAUAUGUGUAUAUUUUGAAUGGUGGGGCAGUCAGCUGGUGCAGUUGCAAGCAAAGCGUCGUGGCGGGAUCUACAUGUGAAGCGGAGUACAUGGCAGCCUCGGAGGCAGCACAUGAAGCAAUCUGGAUGAAGGAGUUCAUUGCUGACCUAGGAGUUAUUCCCAAUGCAUCGGGGCCGAUGACUCUCUUCUGUGAUAACACUGGAGCUAUUGCCCUUGCCAAGCAGCCCAGGUUUCACAAGAAGACCAGGCACAUCAAGCGUCGCUUCAACUCCAUUCGUGAAAAUGUUCAAAAUGGAGACAUAGAUAUUUGUAAAGUGCAUACGGAUUUGAAUGUCGCAGAUCCGUUGACUAAACCUCUUCCACGGGCGAAACAUGAUCAACACCAGAGCUCUAUGGGUGUAUGA
rnacentral:rRNA from 1 species